rnacentral:rRNA from 1 species
ACUCCUGCGGGAGGCAGCAGUGGGGAAUAUUGGACAAUGGGCGCAAGCCUGAUCCAGCCAUGCCGCGUGAGUGAUGAAGGCCCUAGGGUUGUAAAGCUCUUUUGUGCGGGAAGAUAAUGACGGUACCGCAAGAAUAAGCCCCGGCUAACUUCGUGCCAGCAGCCGCGGUAAUACGAAGGGGGCUAGCGUUGCUCGGAAUCACUGGGCGUAAAGGGUGCGUAGGCGGGUCUUUAAGUCAGGGGUGAAAUCCUGGAGCUCAACUCCAGAACUGCCUUUGAUACUGAAGAUCUUGAGUUCGGGAGAGGUGAGUGGAACUGCGAGUGUAGAGGUGAAAUUCGUAGAUAUUCGCAAGAACACCAGUGGCGAAGGCGGCUCACUGGCCCGAUACUGACGCUGAGGCACGAAAGCGUGGGGAGCAAACAGGAUUAGAAACCCGAGUAGUCCCAUGAU